CCAAUAGCGUAUAUUAAAGUUGUUGCAGUUAAAAAGCUCGUAGUUGAAUUUCGGGGUUAGUAGGUUGGUCAUGCCUCUGGUAUGUACUGGUCUCACUGAUUCCUCCUUCCUGAUGAACCUUAAUGCCAUUUAUUUGGUGUUUUGGGGAAUUUGGACUGUUACUUUGAAAAAAUUAGAGUGUUUAAAGCAAGCUAACGCUUGAAUACAUUAGCAUGGAAUA
rnacentral:rRNA from 1 species